UAACUUUGUAUUGCAGUAGAUAUAAUCCUGAAACUGUUUUCUAUUUUUGUUUGGCAUUUGUCUUUAAGCUGGUGGAAUCCAUUCUUACCAAGAAAUCUGGUGGAGAAUAUAUACUAAAUGAAUACAACCGAACUAAGUCCUUGGCAGAUGAAAGCAGAAGGAAAAUGGUGAUAUGAGUUUCCCAAUUCGUUCUAGAGACUGUACUCAGUGAAGAUGAGUGCAAGGAAGCGAUCUCACUGAUGAAACAUUCAGCUGAUGAGGACAUGGUCAGGAAGAAGAUGAAGCUGACAUUUGUCCAUCGACGUAACAUGGUCCUUGCACUUACACACUUACACUUGAUUACACCUACUGCUCUGGGUCGAAAGAGACCAGGAAAGGUGUCUGUGUCCCGGGCUGAGAAGCAUCUUGUGGUCUUCAAGAAGUAUUUUUUCUUAAUUGAUAAGGUAUAUUUUACAUUAAUUAGUCAUGUAAACAUUUCUAUUAGAAUAUUAACCAUAUAUUUUUUAAUCUCUUCUCCAUAGACUGGAACAAGCAUUCAAGAGCAUCUUAAUGCCAUUAUUACGAGCACUCAACCCUGUCUCUUGGCUGUUGGAGCGAGGAAGAACGCUAUCCACCAGUUCUUCGUCAUUCUCGACAAGAAUGCCAUACCUUGCAGGAAAUGCACCACAUUGGAUUACUGGUUUAAUUUUCAUUCUAACCACAGUGAUUGUCCUGCUGAUCCAUACCAGGAGGAUGAUGAAGAAAAAAACUGAUGUCCACACCACACAAAGACAUCGGAGGGCUCUGAUUAUUGUGGAGACGACGACUCUCAACAUAAAGGGACGCAUUGGGAAAAAUGUAACAGUUCAUUGUGAAAACUGGAAUGUUUGGACAUAUGUGGAAGAUAAUGCUAAAUACAUUUGUAACAGUCCAUGCAAGGAAGACAAAGACAUCUUCAUGAAAGCAGAAUAUGGACAAACUAAAAAGAAGAACAGAAUAGAGUUGACCAAUGCAGGAUACAGUUUAUAUGUGACCUUCUUUAAUCUUAAAAUGUCUGACUCCCGAAAGUUUUACUGUGGAGUUGAGAGAAAUGGUCCUGAUGCAUACAUAGAGGUGAAUCUUAAGGUUACAGACGAUUUUAAAAGCUCCACUGUCCCUACAACCAACUUGGAAAUGAUGACCGGUUUAUCUGACUCCUACACAGCCCUUGAUACAACACCUAUUGCAUCAGCUUCACAAGGAAGUGGAAGUGUUCUGUAUCUGACUAUUGGUGUCAUUGUCAUACUGACCACACUGAUAGUCCUGUGGAGACUUGUGAGGACUGUGAGGAGAAAACUGAACAUUGUGUCAGGUGCUGGUUCUCCACAGGAAGAUGCACAAGUGCUUCCAGAGGUCAGUUCAAAAGGUGCAUCUGAAAAUGAAUGAGGGCUGAAAGAAACAGUUCUACACAUAGAGCAUCAAAGUUUGUUUUAGGUUAUGUUAAUGAUAAUAAGGGUUUUUAUAGUUACCAUCACCAGACUGUAAGUUCACCACAACUUGAGAAAUGUAGGAUGAAACAGACCAAGACAGGAAAGUCAAGGAACAAAGGUUACAUUUAAUUCUUGUCCAGGCAAGAUUUUUCCUAUGCUUCUUGGAUACCUCUGCCUGAUAAUUGUGCUUCAUUGUACAGUUAAUUAUUUGGAUUUUAAAGUCCUUUGGCACAUUGUUCAUCUUUGGUCCCUAAUCCUGUUUGUAUACAUGUCAUUCUUUCUUCCAAGCACUUUUGUUCAGUUGUAUUUUAAAUACAUGUUUAGAUGCCCACUUGUAAUGCUUGGUAAGGAAGCACAGGAUUUCAGUCAUUAGUUCUUUUGUUGUUAAUAUAGAUGGCAUAGAUUAAUUGUAAACUUCUGUUCAGUGGUCCUUCUUUUGUUUAGAUUAAUUUCUUUUGAGUAUCAUCCAUGACCUGCAUUGAUUCAUGCUGUUAUCCAUCGACAUCUACUACUCAUUAAAAUGUAUUCAACUUCAGUAAAACCAUAUUUAUCUGGGCCAAUUCCCUCCAGCAAGCUGCAUCGUAAUGCUUCCAUUGGUUUUAUAAAUUUACUCUUUACACAGGCAUGCAUUGUCCUCCAAUCAGUUCCUUUUUCAUUGUUGAUAGAUUCACUUUUGUGUAUGUAAUUUGGUACUAAUCUGAUAUUAUAAAUCAAACCUGUACUGUUCAAACAGAAUGUGGAUCCUGAUGGAGUCUACCAAUUACUCCAUCCAUCGAUGGAAGAUAGAAGUCAAGUCUACAGCACUCUCAUGCUCACUAAAAGAAGUGCAGCUUCUGAUGAAGUCUAUGAAACACUCCC